GUCUUGGUGGUGUAGUGGUAGCACGCAGCUCUGGUAAGGAUGAAACAUGAGUUCGACUUCCGCCUAAGGUCGACA